GUGAACCUGCGGAAGGAUCAUUAA
rnacentral:ncRNA from 5 species